GACGAACGCUGGCGGCGUGCUUAACACAUGCAAGUCGAACGGAAAGGCCCUGCUUUUGUGGGGUGCUCGAGUGGCGAACGGGUGAGUAACACGUGAGUAACCUGCCCUUGACUUUGGGAUAACUUCAGGAAACUGGGGCUAAUACCGGAUAGGAGCUCCUGCUGCAUGGUGGGGGUUGGAAAGUUUCGGCGGUUGGGGAUGGACUCGCGGCUUGUCAGCUUGUUGGUGGGGUAGUGGCUUACCACGGCUUUGACGGGUAGCCGGCCUGAGAGGGUGACCGGCCACAUUGGGACUGGGAUACGGCCCAGACUCCUACGGGAGGCAGCAGUGGGGAAGAUUGCACAAUGGGCGGAAGCCUGAUGCAGCAACGCCGCGUGCGGGAUGACGGCCUUCGGGUUGUAAACCGCUUUCGCCUGUGACGAAGCGUGAGUGACGGUAAUGGGUAAAGAAGCACCGGCUAACUACGUG
rnacentral:rRNA from 1 species